CACGUAGGGCGCAAGCGUUGUCCGGAAUUAUUGGGCGUAAAGAGCUCGUAGGCGGUCUGUUACGUCUGCUGUGAAAACCCUGGGCUUAACCCUGGGCUUGCAGUGGAUACGGGGCAGACUAGAGGCAGGUAGGGGAGAAUGGAAUUCCCGGUGUAGCGGUGAAAUGCGCAGAUAUCGGGAGGAACACCGGUGGCGAAGGCGGUUCUCUGGGCCUGACCUGACGCUGAGGAGCGAAACGUGGGGGAGCGAACAGGAUU
rnacentral:rRNA from 1 species